GAAAGUUGGGAAGGCAUCUGUAAUUUCGAUAAAUAUCACCUUAUAUGACGUGAAUACCCUUAUGGCCCUUGGGUCUUGGAAGGGGAAUCAUCUGGAUUAGGGUUUUAUGCUCUCUUAAAACCCUAACCUCUAUAAAUAUCCAACGACGGUCCCUUGCAGUCUCUUCUUCAAUCUCAGUAUAACGUGGAUACUGAAGCGAAUUGAUAAAGGUUCCAGAGAUCUAGAGCGAAGAUGAGAGCCAAGUGGAAGAAGAAGCGCAUGAGGAGACUCAAGAGAAAGCGCCGAAAGAUGAGGCAGAGAUCUAAGUAAAACCGAGCAGAGUAGCGUGGAUGCAAAGAUGGCUCGUCAUACCUAUUGCCUCCCUUCUUUUAUCACCGUCAUGUUUUAAAAGAAGGGGAAUGGGGUAGUAGAAGGCUGAGUCGUCUUAGUUUCUAGUCUAUCUUUUUACUGUUUUGCAGUCUUAGGUCUAGAUAAAACUUACAGGCUACUACUUUUAGUGCCCGAUUAUAGACUUGUAUUGGAUAAUUCCUCUAUUUAGUAACCUGUUUCUGAUGAUUUGGAUCUUUCAUUUUCUUUAAUGGAAAAUCUAUUUUGAGACGUGUGUUUGUCAUGCUUUCUCUCUACUUGAAAUGAGUUAUCAUGCUGCUUUCU